AGGACGAACGCUGGCGGCGUGCUUAACACAUGCAAGUCAAGGGGGCCCGCAAGGGCAACCGGCGAACGGGUGCGUAACACGUGAGCAACCUGCCCAUCUGUGGGGGAUAGCCGGCCCAACGGCCGGGUAAUACCGCAUACGUUCAUCUGGGGGCAUCCCCGGAUGAGGAAAGCCUUCGGGCGCAGGUGGAGGGGCUCGCGGCCUAUCAGCUAGUUGGUGGGGUAACGGCCUACCAAGGCAACGACGGGUAGCUGGUCUGAGAGGAUGACCAGCCACAUUGGGACUGCGACACGGCCCAGACUCCUACGGGAGGCAGCAGUGGGGAAUCUUGCGCAAUGGCCGAAAGGCUGACGCAGCGACGCCGCGUGUGGGAUGAAGCUCUUCGGGUGUAAACCACUGUUGCCCGGGACGAACGGCGGAUUAAUCCGCCGUGACGGUACCGGUGAGGAAGCACCGGCUAACGUCCGCGCCAGCAGCCGC
rnacentral:rRNA from 1 species